rnacentral:lncRNA from 1 species
CCCUCAUGCCCUCCUCCCCCUCUCCUCCUGGUGCAGACAGGGCUGUUCCUCUUCCUGUUGGCGGCUGCAAGCAGCGUUGUGCCCUCCCUUCCCCAGGCUGAAGCCGGCUGUCUGUCACAGGACAGCCGGCCUCCCCUCACACCGCGGCCCUUGGACAACGCCUGGCACCCGCAUCUGACAAGUGUCCAGAACAACUGCAUACCCCAGGGGGCUUUGUGUUCAGAGAGGAGAUAUAACUUCUGGUAACAUCACCUGAUGUCCCUUUUUUCCUUCAGCUCUCCUCCCUGCUGCUCGACCCAACUGCGUGUCUCACUUCAAAAUUAUGACUUGAGAUCUGGAUCCUGUUCCCAGCUUUGGUGUUGCAAUUUCCUGUUCCACCCAUUCCUUCCAAUAUGCAGGGCUAUUGGAAAAACACUUCAGACAGAAAUAUUUUAUCUUGCAUCUGGCUCAGCUGCACAAAGAUUCACAAGAGUAACAGGACUUUUGCAUAAUGAAAUGGAUGGGGAAAGCCAGGUGCCGGGAAGAAGGAUGAGAAGAUCUGAAGGUGAAUAUUCUGCUGGUGGUGACACUGAACUUAAAGCAAGGAGACUGGCUAAUGGAAAUGAUUAUGGAAGUGGAAGUGACAGCUGCUGAAGUGGAAGGGAAAACUGAAGAUUUAAAGUGCCGAAAAUAUUGUGCAGAAAGAUGGAGAAUUUCUGGGAGGAAUUUUGAAUCCUGGGCUGUGAUCUGAGCUGCUUUUGUUAAUGAAGAAAAUGUUUGCAGCACUGAAGAAGAGGUUCUGUUGUUUCACUCUUUCUCACACUCAUCUGUGUAUAAAAACCAAUGCAUUUUCCACAAAAUUUUCUUCAAAACAGAUGUAUUUGGGUCCCUUCAUUAAGUUAAUAUUUUCCUAAUUUCUCUCAUGUGCUGGAAAGGAAUACUUAGCUUUUAAUUAAAUUUUAAUUAAAAUUAAGAAUUACUGUUUUUCUAACAUUUAUUUCUUUAUGUUAUGAGAUCUGUAAAGAUGAGCUAGAAAGAAGCUGGCAUGCAGAGUAUUUAUCUAUUUGUUGAAGCUAUCUUGCCUUUUUGAGAAAAAACAGUAAAUGGUUGCUGAGAAGCAGGCCAUAUCUCUUCUCAGUAUAUCUUUUCAGUAUAAAUUAUAAGAGUUGACUGUCCAGAAGGCAGCACAAAUCUAUCUGAGAAGAUAAUGCAUGAAUACUAUGGAUCUUACAAAUUAAAUUG